UGGUUCCGGCAUCGAUGAAGAACGCAGCGGAAUGCGAUAAGUAAUGUGAAUUGCAGAAUUCAGUGAAUCAUCGAAUCUUUGAACGCACAUUGCGCCCUCUGGUAUUCCGGGGGGCAUGCCUGUUCGAGCGUCAUUACAACCCUCAAGCUCUGCUUGGUAUUGGGCGUCACCACUUUGGUGCGCCCUAAAAAUAGUGGCGGUGUCACCUGGCUCCUGGCGUAGUAAUACUUCUCGUUAUAGAGCUUAGGUGUAUGCCUGCCAUAAACCCCCACUCUCAAGGUUGACCUCGGAUCAGGUAGGGAUACCCGCUGA
rnacentral:misc_RNA from 1 species